rnacentral:snoRNA from 1 species
AAGGCUAUACUUUCAGGGAUCAUUUCUAUAGUUGGUGACUAGAGAAAGUCAUAGUUAUAACUCAUUAUUUCUA